GCGGCCUAUCAGCUUGUUGGUGAGGUAAUGGCUCACCAAGGCGACGACGGGUAGCCGGCCUGAGAGGGCGACCGGCCACACUGGGACUGAGACACGGCCCAGACUCCUACGGGAGGCAGCAGUGGGGAAUAUUGGGCAAUGGAGGAAACUCUGACCCAGCGACGCCGCGUGCGGGAUGAAGGCCUUCGGGUUGUAAACCGCUUUCAGCAAGGAAGAAGCGAAAGUGACGGUACUUGCAGAAGAAGCGCCGGCUAACUAUGUGCCAGCAGCCGCGGUAAUACAUAGGGUGCAAGCGUUGUCCGGAAUUAUUGGGCGUAAAGAGCUCGUAGGUGGUUCGUCACGUCGGAUGUGAAAAUCUGGGGCUUAACCCCAGACCUGCAUUCGAUACGGGCGAGCUAGAGUGUGGUAGGGGAGACUGGAAUUCCU
rnacentral:rRNA from 1 species